GUGGGGAAUAUUGGUCAAUGGGGGAAACCCUGAACCAGCAACGCCGCGUGAAGGAAGAAGGCCUUCGGGUUGUAAACUUUUUUGACGAGGGACGAUAAUGACGGUACCUCGAAAACAAGCUCCGGCUAACUACGUGCCAGCAGCCGCGGUAAUACGUAGGGAGCGAGCGUUGUCCGGAAUUACUGGGUGUAAAGGGCGCGUAGGCGGGGAUACAAGUCAGAUGUGAAAUAUCCAGGCUCAACCUGGGGGCUGCAUUUGAAACUGUAUUUCUUGAGUGAUGGAGAGGCAGGCGGAAUUCCGAGUGUAGCGGUGAAAUGCGUAGAUAUUCGGAGGAACACCAGUGGCGAAGGCGGCCUGCUGGACAUUAACUGACGCUGAGGCGCGAAAGCGUGGGGAGCAAACAGGAUUAGAUACCCCAGUAGUCC
rnacentral:rRNA from 1 species